GUGUGCAAUAAAAACUUCCUAGGCACAAAUUUAUUCAAGGCAAAUUUUGUGCCACUUGACCAAAGAAAGUUCACUAAUCUGUAUAUUACUCUGCUGACCCCAUGACAAAUAAAAUACAUUACAUUUUUUUUAAAAAUAGAAAACAGCAGGGUUCCU